GUACACACCGCCCGUCACACCAUGGGAGUUGGUUUUACCUUAAGACGGUGUGCCAACCGCAAGGAGGCAGCCGGCCACGGUARKGUCAGCGACURRGGUGAAGUCGUAACAAGGUAGCCGUAGGUGAACCUGCAGAAGGAUCA
rnacentral:rRNA from 1 species